rnacentral:miRNA from 1 species
AUCACAUUGCCAGGGAAUUCCAA